rnacentral:lncRNA from 1 species
AGAACGGAGCCUUAGGCAUCCAGCCGUUGGGGUGUGCCACUCAGAUCUCCUUUAAAGGAAGAAAUUGCCAUGAGGAAUGUAGUUAUCUGACAGCCUCCAGCUGCCUCAACUUUGAGGUCUUUCGCAGCAUUCACUCAAAGGCCACAUAGUCCUGGUCAAAGACUAAACAUGGCAAAGUUUCUAGAGCUGGUCCAUUCUUGCUCAUCAUAGGAUUCCUCUAAUGGGAAAUCUUUCCCCAAGGGUUCCGCAUUAGCCUAACCAAGACUUUCUCUGAGACUCUUAGUUAUUAUGAUGCUACUUCCACCAGCACCAGGGUUCUUGUUGCUAUCUGGCUGUUGAGUGAUUCAGUCCCACUGAGCAAUGUCAACCUGAUUGUCUUUCUUUGUUUUUAAGAAACAGGGUCUUGCUCUGCUGCCCAGGCUGGAGCACAGUAGUGUGAUCAUAGCUCACUACAGCCUUCAACUCCUGGGCCUUAGCAAUCCUCCUGCCUCAGCCUCCCAAGGAGCUAUGGCUGCAGGUAUCCGCCACCACUCAUUGACAGCCACUUCCAGUACUCACUGUCUUGGACACAGACUUGAGUAAAAGUACAGGGGCAAGAGGCCUGGAUGAAGAAAUACCCUCAGAAACUCCCACUCUUCUGGUUCCUGCUGAAGACUCCAGUAAUAAAAGUUAUUCAUACCUACCUCCACCAUCUUGGCUGGGAAGUCAAGGAAGAAGAUAGCAGCCCGCAACCCGGAAGAGGGCCCUCACCAGAACCUACCAUGCUGGCACCCAGACCUCAGACUUCCAGCCUCCAGAAAUGAGCUCCCUCUGCUGCAGGAACUCAACGAUAGGGAGGAAGAGUCCAGAAAAGUAGGGCUGUCAGCACCUCUGUGAGCAGCCGACGAUCCACAGCGGAUGGAGUUUGGUGGUAAAGGUACUCACUUCCUGUCUCUCUGGUGAUGAUUUUGAGCAUGUUCUACAAAGUCUUUCAGAUGGUCCCAGUAGGUUGGAGCCCAGCUGCCCUCAGUGGUAACCUGCCCAUUAACGUAUCCUGUGUUGGUUUCCUUUCCUCCCCUACCUCACCUCCCCACUCCCCUUUCUAUGAUUCCUAGAGUCACCUCCCAAAUAAACUUUCACAU